AGCUCCUCCGGCGACUAUGGAUGGUUUCCGGCCGUAAGCUCCGGUGACGAAAGAUGCGAAGAAGGAAGCGACCAGGCCUGCUAAAUAGAACUUGCGGGAAGAACUUCUUCAAGAAUGGCUCCAUCGACGUCACUCCACCUUCAAGAAUUAUAAACUAAUUAUCCCGUAUCGAUUAUUGGA